rnacentral:siRNA from 1 species
UACGUCGUACGUUGUAAUGCA